GACGAACGCUGGCGGCGUGCUUAACACAUGCAAGUCGAACGAUGAAGCCCGGCUUGCUGGGUGGAUUAGUGGCGAACGGGUGAGUAACACGUGGGCACCCUGCCCCAAACUCUGGGCUAACUCCUCGAAAGAGGUGCUAAUACCGGCUACGAACUAGCCCGCCAUCUGUACUAGUUGGAUAGUUCUUGGGUAUGGGGUGGGCCCGCGGCCUAUCAGCUUGUUGGUGAGGUAACGGAUCACGACGGCUACGACGGGGAACCGGCCUGGGAGGGGGACAGGUCACACUGGGACUGAGACACGGCCCAGACUCGUACGGGAGGUAGCAGGGGGGAAUAUUGCGCAAUGGGCGAAAGCCUGACGCAGCGACGCCGCGUGAGGGAUGAAGGUCUUCGGAUCGUAAACCUCUUUCAGUAGGGACGAAGCGAAAGUGACGGUACCUAAAGAAGAAGCACCGGCUAACUACGUGCCAGCAGCCGCCGUAAUAC
rnacentral:rRNA from 1 species